rnacentral:lncRNA from 1 species
UCAACAUCAACAAAGAUACUAUAUCGACCUUCUUUAAUUCUUGGUAAACCAAGUAUAAAAUCCAUGGAUAAAUCUAUUGGAAAAUUUGCAUUUUAUGAGAAUUUUGAGGCAUAUUUUCAAUAGGUAAAGGUGGAGAUUUGAAUCAUAAAAUUAUGGUUUCAUAUUCUACUCCAUGAGACAUUUACAACGAUAUUUCAUAUGCUCAAAAUGGUUGAGUGAUGAAUGAGAAAUUGAUGCUCAAAGUAAGCUACUUGGAAAUAUUUGUUGAGGAAAAGGAAAGGCUUAGAUCCC